rnacentral:rRNA from 1 species
UACGGAGGGGGCAAGCGUUGUUCGGAUUUACUGGGCGUAAAGGGUCCGUAGGCGGUUGCAUAAGUCUGGUGUGAAAGCUUCGCCGCUUAACGGGAAGUUGUCACUGGAUACUGUGUAACUUGAGUAUGGUAGAGGCAAGCGGAAUUCCUGGUGUAGCGGUGGAAUGUGUAGAUAUCAGGAAGAACACCGGUGGCGAAGGCGGCUUGCUGGGCCAUCACUGACGCUGAGGGACGAAAGCGUGGGGAGCAAA